CGCCUCAUUCCCCCCUCCCCCCCUUUUUUUUUGUGCUCUGCUUGCUGCUCAAAUUCCCAUACGAACAAAAGCUUCCCCACUCUAGACCAGAGGCCUCCACUGCUUCCUCUCUAUCGUUCGCGUCGCUCAAUCUCGUUGCUGAUGAGCCUCCAUUGCCAGUCUUUCCAAGUCCCAUACGAACAAGGAACAAAAAGAAGCCCUAAAUUCCCACUUCUCCGAUUCUAACAAAGAGGCAUUUACCCGGCCAAGGAAAAAGAAAACUCACUCGAUUCCACCUCACUCGUUCCUCUCUUUCCCCCAAAUUCCAAAAUUUUCCCAUUAUGCUAUGAUGUCCAAAUUGAUUUGCUUUGCUUGACCGGAAGGUUAUGCUCUGAUUCCGGCCUCGACAUGAUUAGACUAGGUCGUGGAAGGCAGAUCGAAGGCACGUGAAGCUCGGUUACCCAAGGAGGUCGUGGAAGGAAGAUGCUCGGAGCCAGCCUCGACAUGAUUUUGUGAAGAUUAGGCCGUGGGAAGAAGAUCGAAGGCCCGUGAAGCUCUCUUCCUACGCCAAGCUCCGUUACCCAAAGAGGAAUCCGCUUCUGGUUCUUGACUGUUGCUCGGCGGUUUCAAGAGGAAGACGUUGGCGCUUUGGGAACAUGGCUGGUGUUUUUCAAGUAAUGACAUUUGGAGUUCGGGCGUUGGAUAAGAAGGAUCUUGAUCCUUCUUUCAAGCUAAGCUUGCAAAGAUUGCCACGGCCGAGAUGAUUUCCUCCAAGGUAAAGCCGAAAGGGAAUGAAUUCUGGAUUUGAUUAUCAGUUGAUUGAUUUAUUUGUACUUGUAGGAGUAUUAUUUUUGAAGCUAUGUUGGCAGUUUAUUACUUUGUUAGCUCUUGUUUGAUUAUAAAUUUUGGAGAAGAAUGGUUAGACUGUUGGCUGAAGUCCUUCCACGGCAGGAGAAAGGCAGGAUAACGUCCCCGUUGUUGGACCGGAACAAGAAACGAAAGCUAGUCGUCAUUUGCCUAAGGUUUAAUGAAGUUUUCUAUUCUUAUAUUUUCAUAAGUUGAUAAAAAAAAUGGUGUUACUAUUAUGCCAUUCUUACUUUUGGGCGAAUAUUAUGCAUCCAUAACUCAUUUGGAGUUAAAUUCUGUUGAUUGUUCCAUUCAUUCAUAAUAUUGAAUUUGCUCCCUUAGUAAGGUCUUCUAUGUACAAGCAUAACAAUCAAGAUAAAACCAAUUAUAAAGUUAGGGAUUUUAAGACGUUUUGGUUACUCUUUUAUAUUGUUGAGCUUUGAAGCUAAAGGUCUUUGGACUUUCUUAUACAGCCUUUAACAGAAGUGUUGUUGAUGAACUGUCUUAUAUCGCCUUAUGUGUUGUAUACACCCAUAG